rnacentral:tRNA from 1 species
GCCCCCUUAGCUCAGGGGAUAGAGCAACUGCCUUCUAAGCAGUGGGUCGGGUGUUCGAUUCACCCAGGGGGCGCCA